rnacentral:lncRNA from 1 species
AGAAAAAUUGAUCUCUGUCUGAGCUCUGAAGGGUCCGAAGUGAUUUUAGCUACAUCAAGUGAUGAAAAACACCCACCUGAAAAUAUCAUUGAUGGGAAUCCAGAAACGUUUUGGACCACCACAGGAAUGUUUCCCCAGGAAUUCAUUAUUUGUUUCCACAAACAUGUAAGGAUUGAAAGGCUUGUAAUCCAAAGUUACUUUGACCUUGAAGAUUGAAAAAAGCACGUCUAAAGAGCCAGUUGAUUUUGAGCAAUGGAUUGAAAAAGAUUUGGUACACACAGAGGGGCAGCUUCAAAAUGAAGAAAUUGUGGCACAUGAUGGCUCCGCUACUUACUUGAGAUUCAUUAUUGUAUCAGCCUUUGAUCAUUUUGCAUCUGUGCAUAGCGUUUCUGCAGAAGGAACAGUAGUCUCAAAUCUUUCCUCAUAAUGAUAACAAAAUGCUCUUGCAUGAUUUUUUAACAAUAUAUUUAAACAGGAAGUUGUCACUGAUAUACUUUAUUAAAAGGAUUUUUAUCAA